CAGUUUCAGAAUACAGGCUUGACUUUAAAAUAAGGAAGUUGCUUAGAGCAGAGAAGAAGUUUAAGUCAUAUGCUCUCUCCACUUCGUUAUACAAUUAUUUUUGAAUCUCCUCAAAGAGUUGUUGGAUCCACUAGGGCCAGGUGAUAUUUGAUGGCAAAUGUACGUCACAAUUUGUAUAUAAAUAUUGUUCAAUGAAUCCAGCAUUUAAAAGGUGACUGGACGUAGAAGGGAGAAAAAACUGAAAGUUUCUUUAAUAGAUCCGAUAACAAAGAUUACCAUAUUCCCUUCAAAUGGAAUGUUCUUCUUCCUGUGUAUACAAGUGACACCAUCUUAAAAUUCCUGACUAAUGCCACUUCUUCCAUGAGGACUUCUGUUAUCCUUCCAGUGGAAGAUGCCUCUUUAUUCUCU
rnacentral:lncRNA from 1 species